rnacentral:tRNA from 2 species
GCUGGCGUAGCUCAGCGGUAGAGCGGCUGAUUUGUAAUCAGCGGGUCGGAGGUUCGAUUCCUCUCGCCAGCUCCA